rnacentral:rRNA from 1 species
UGACGGUACUGUAAGAAUAAGGAUCGGCUAACUCCGUGCCAGCAGCCGCGGUAAUACGGAGGAUCCAAGCGUUAUCCGGAAUCAUUGGGUUUAAAGGGUCCGCAGGCGGUUUUUUAAGUCAGAGGUGAAAUCCUACAGCUCAACUGUAGAACUGCCUUUGAUACUGGAAAACUUGAGUUAUUGUGAAGUGGUUAGAAUGUGUGGUGUAGCGGUGAAAUGCAUAGAUAUCACACAGAAUACCGAUUGCGAAGGCAGAUCACUAACAAUAUACUGACGCUCAUGGACGAAAGCGUGGGGAGCGAACAGGAUUAGAUACCCUGGUAGUCCACGCCGUAAACGAUGGAUACUAGCUGUUCGUCUAACAUUGGUUAGAUGAGUGGCUAAGCGAAAGUGAUAACUAUCCCACCUGGGGAGUACGGUCGCAAGACUGAAACUCAAAGGAAUUGAC